rnacentral:lncRNA from 1 species
AAAAAAAAAAGGCUGAGAUGUGUCUCAGUGGGUAAGUGCCCUUUAGUUUAAUCCCUGGUACCCCCCCCCCCAAAAAAAAAAAAAAGAAAAGGAAAGAAAGAAAAAUUAAUGUCCUCAGAGAAGUGUGUGCCUCUGUGGGAACUGGAAUCAGGUAUUGGCGCCCACCUGUGGCUUCAGUUGUGCACAAGCAGUAACUCUUCCUAUAUUCUCUUUAAGGAGAGUAAACAACUUCUGUUAAAAGGAAAAGCUUUAAACACAGCAUUUUGAAAGAAAGAACCAAGUUUAUUUGGACAGGGCCAAACAAAAAUAUUUUAAUGAAUAUAAUCUUAUUACCUUCUGUAUUCAUAUUCUAUUGUGUAUUCCAAGAAGUAAAUUAGCUAGCAUUUGGAUUUCUUGUUAGUGAGAAUAGUGUGACUACCAAGCAUGUAGCUUUGCCUUACUGAUUGCAUAUUGCAAACCGUGAUGGGUUUUAUGAUGGAGGUGUGGGGAGAUGUAUGAGAAAGUAGGAUUUUUGGUAACCAUGUCUAUACCUUAUGCUUCCUUUAUUUGGAUUGUUGAAGACCAAAACUAUAAUGAAAACUAUUUUAAAUGAUGUACAUUGCAGCUAGAUAUUAUCUUAUCAUUUGGAGAGAAUCCUGAGGGAUCAUACAUGUAAAUAAUGAGAAAAGUUCUUAAAAAAAGGAAUAGUGUUGUUUUUGUAGCUGUCAAUAUUCCUUAUAAUGGAAUAGAAAAAUGUCACUUUUUCAUAUUUAAAAAUAUAAAAUCCUAUUUGAGAUAGGGUUUAGUUUUUUUUCUCCUUCACAAAAUAUAUGUGAACAAUUUUAACACAAAAG